rnacentral:rRNA from 9 species
GGGUUGUGAGGUUAAGCGACUAAGCGUACACGGUGGAUGCCCUGGCAGUCAGAGGCGAUGAAGGGCGUGCUAAUCUGCGAUAAGCGCCGGUAAGGUGAUAUGAACCGUUAUAACCGGCGAUACCCGAAUGGGGAAACCCAGUGUGAUUCGUCACACUAUCAUUAACUGAAUCCAUAGGUUAAUGAGGCGAACCGGGGGAACUGAAACAUCUAAGUACCCCGAGGAAAAGAAAUCAACCGAGAUUCCCCCAGUAGCGGCGAGCGAACGGGGAGGAGCCCAGAGCCUGAAUCAGCAUGUGUGUUAGUGGAAGCGUCUGGAAAGGCGCGCGAUACAGGGUGACAGCCCCGUACACAAAAGCGCAUGUGCUGUGAGCUCGAUGAGUAGGGCGGGACACGUGGUAUCCUGUCUGAAUAUGGGGGGACCAUCCUCCAAGGCUAAAUACUCCUGACUGACCGAUAGUGAACCAGUACCGUGAGGGAAAGGCGAAAAGAACCCCGGCGAGGGGAGUGAAAAAGAACCUGAAACCGUGUACGUACAAGCAGUGGGAGCAC